rnacentral:rRNA from 1 species
GUCGAGAAUAAUUCACAAUGGGGGCAACCCUGAUGGAGCGACGCCGCGUGGAGGAUAAGGUCUUCGGAUUGUAAACUCCUGUCAUGCGUGAACAAGGUUGCUUGGAUAAUACCUGAGCAAAUUGAUGGUAGCGCAAGAGGAAGAGACGGCUAACUCUGUGCCAGCAGCCGCGGUAAUACAGAGGUCUCAAGCGUUGUUCGGAAUCACUGGGCGUAAAGGGUGCGUAGGUGGCGUGGCAAGUCAGAUGUGAAAGCCCGGGGCUCAACCUCGGAACUGCAUCCGAUACUGCCAUGCUAGAGUACUGGAGGGGUGACUAGAAUUCUCGGUGUAGCAGUGAAAUGCGUAGAUAUCGAGAGGAAUACCAAAGGCGUAGGCAGGUCACUGGACAGUUACUGACACUGAGGCACGAAGGCCAGGGGAGCGAACGGGAUUAGAUACCCGAGUAGUCC